AAAAAUUUAGUUAAAUAAUAACAUCAAUUUGUCAUAUUGAAGUAAAUACUCAAAUAUUAAUUUUUU
rnacentral:tRNA from 1 species